UUGUAGACAGCGCCAAACGGCAGCAGACGAUUCAGGAGACGUCGGCAGUGACGCACUAGAAGCGCCCCACGUGUCAGGACAGUGAUCAACAUGCAUCGCCAGGGGUCGCCAGCUACCGCUACACGUGCCUGAAAUACAAUAGAGAAACAAUUUCAAGUAUCGAAAAGCGGAUAGAAUCAAAGCACAAUAUAUCACCAGCAAUAUGGGCAUCAAUCAAUCCACUGCAGUUAGGAAGACGACCGAGAGACCACCGACGAGAAUAGGCAGAUUACUAGCGUCCCUCACAGGUUACAUCUUACUAGGGGCAGCUCGACAGACCGCAACAAUCUGGGCAGCUGCUAACGGUCAUACGGAUACGGUCACAUCGUUAUUAAGUGCCGGCGCUAAGAUAGAACACGCGGACGGGAGUGGCAGGACCGCAGUAAUAGCAGCAGCUGUUAACGGUCAUACCGAUACGGUCAC